CCUACGGGAGGCAGCAGUGGGGAAUAUUGGACAAUGGGCGAAAGCCUGAUCCAGCAAUGCCGCGUGAGUGAUGAAGGCCUUAGGGUUGUAAAGCUCUCUUACCCGGGAUGAUAAUGACAGUACCGGGAGAAUAAGCUCCGGCUAACUCCGUGCCAGCAGCCGCGGUAAU
rnacentral:rRNA from 2 species